CACCAUCAAUUUGACAAAUCGAAUGUGUGUGUCUUGGUCCCAUCAGAGACAAAGGAUAUGGAUUGCUAGAAUUUUGUUGUUUGGUCUGCUGACAAGCAAACCUGUUUGAGAUGGUGUCCGCCAUUGUGGUGGUAGCCUAACUGAGAAGGCUGGUCAGAGAAGGGCAAGUUGUUCGGCAGACAGAAAGAGCCAUAUCCGAAGCGGCUGAAAGGAGCGGCAAGUUGAUGUGAAUUAAACGACAAGAUACAUGCUGGAGUCACAGAACUUAAUGCGCAGAGGUGCAACAAACUUCCAGAAGCUACAAGAUUAGGGUCAUCUCUCAACCUUCCAGAAGCAAGUAAAGACUCUCCUCUUUCAUUACCAUCCACUGCGCUGAUGUCAGAGCUGGCCCAGACCUGGGAUAGACGCUAAAGAUUGUUGUGCUUUGGGUUUUGCAGAACAAUUAUGGAAGUUUGCGGCAAAGGACCUCAACAGACCAGGAGGCCAGUUUUUAAAUGAAAUGAAGCACAACCUACACUGAUCCCUCAUCAUAAAACUACAUGCAAAGACUCAACUCAUACAGUGAAUGUUGAAAGGCUAAUGUGAACAUGCUCAAAUCCAGUGGUUAUUGACAUUUCCCAGUGAACUAAUAUUCCACAUGCUUUGAGAUCCACAAACAAUGUCAUUGCCAUAGUCCUUGACUCUGUGCUGAACCAACUGGAGCAACAGCAGCGCUAAACAUGACUGGUCCUUCAACACAAUCAUAGACAAACUGGCCACUCUUGGGCCACCCCCAUCACAUGUGCCUUGGUAAAAGACAGUCUAACAACCCUUCCCCAGUCUGUGACACUUGGCCACCAUCCAUAUCACUGUGUGCCCCUACAUCAGAGAUGUCAAACUCAGGCCCAGGGGGGAAAUUUGUCCCACAGAGCCAUCUUAUUUGGUCUGUGACAUAUUUUUUUGUAUUGUGUACUACAAGUUGACCCAUAUACACCAUUAACCCAUUUUUUCCCAAGCCCUUUUUGGGAAAGGGUGCCCUCCUCCUAUUAAAUCCUAAACAUCUCAACCUCCUAAGGACAUACAAACAUGAAGUAAGUUAAAUCUAAAAGCCAAGACCCCCCCUGCUCUAACAUACCCACAUAGUUAAUAAAACAGCUAAAAUCUCAAAAUCCUGAAAAAACCUAUAUGUGUCUCCAGGACAGAAUGGACCAGUUCAGUCAAUUUCAAUAUGCUGUUGUAUUGCUCACGCUACCCUUGACUUGUCAGUACCCGGUGAUGCCACAUUUUCGGCUAAGCCCUUUCCAAGAUAUUUUUUUUUUUUUAAUUAACAGGGGC